CCUUCGGCUCUUGGGCGCCGGUGCUGGGCGGCCGUAACGGCGGCGGCUAACGGCGGCGGUGGUGCUAGUGGUGGUGGCGGCUAUGAUGCUGGUAGGGGAGUUUAUGGUGGGGAGAGUGUGCCAGAGUAGGUAGAAAACGAUCUGGUGGGGGAAAUGAGACGUCGAGUAUCUCUACCACGCGCCGGAUGCUGCGGAGUAGCUCGCGAGCUCUCGCGCGAGUCGGUUUGUUUUUCUUGUAUUGGUAAAUUUUCAUAAAAACAAAAAAUAAUAAUAGAGAAACUCAUCGAGUCGUUCGUCAUACCUUUCAAAUCUCAAUUUCUCGCGAUCCAAUAUUUAAUUCGCGCAUUGUUUCAUUACAUUUUUUUUUUCUUUUUUUUCAGGCAUGAUUUCGGAUGAAAACACGCACUUUCUCUUUUAAGUAGACAUGUGCGCUUUUAUGGAAUAGUAUUAUUGUAUAAAAAGACAAAGAAAGAAAAAAGAAGAAAGAUAGAGAUUUCAAAAAACGUUCGUACAACUUAUGGAGAACGUCAAACCACAGGUAUAUUAUCGGCACAAAGACGUUUGAUGUUCGAUGGCGCCGAAGAAAAGGGCCAAGGGACUUGAAAUUCGAAAAUAAUGCGGGUUCUGGUCAAGAAAAAAGGAGGGAUGAAUCGGACGUUCGGUUGGCUGGCUUGCUGUCUGAAACACGUGUCGCCCACUCCUUUUCGAAAGUGUAUCUCAGUCGCACGUGACGCGUUCACGGAUUCGUCGUUUCUCAUUUUCGAGUCCUGUCUGCCUUCUUACAACGAUCUACGACAUGCGGCAUCACGUAGUAUCGCGGAAAACACGCCAUUUACGAGACGCACGUGCCGGAAACGGAACUGACUCUUUAUCGUUCAAAGAAGAACACCGGGUGAACGAACAUUGACUGUCUGUACGGAGAAAUGAGAAAUAAAAAAAUAAAAAAAAAAUAAAAGCAAACAGAAAGAAAAGAAAAAUAACGAACGACCGAACGAACGAAAAAUAAAAAGAUAGGAAAGGAAAAAUUUCGAGGUGGACCUACGAGGUGGUCCUUCUUUGUCGUCGUGAAAUUCAACGUUGAGUAGAAACCACCUCGUUUCACUCGAAUGUUUUUUCGUGAACCCCUCGCA